rnacentral:tRNA from 1 species
AUUGCUUUGGCAGAAUAGUGCAGUAGAUUUAGAAUUUACGUAUGUAAUUUAUUUUACAGGCAAUA